AAUCAACGCUGGCGGCGUGCCUCAGACAUGCAAGUCGAACGAUUAAAGCUCUCUUCGGAGAGUGCAUAAAGUGGCGCACGGGUGAGUAACACGUAAGUAAUCUACCUUCGAGUGGGGAAUAACGUCCGGAAACGGACGCCAAUACCGCAUAAUGCAGCGGCAUCGCAAGAUGACAGUUGUUAAAGAUUUAUCGCUUGAAGAGGAGCUUGCGGCAGAUUAGCUAGUUGGUAAGGUAAUGGCUUACCAAGGCUACGAUCUGUAACCGGUCUAAGAGGACGGUCGGUCACACUGACACUGAAUAACGGGUCAGACUCCUACGGGAGGCAGCAGUCGGGAAUUUUGGGCAAUGGGCGAAAGCCUGACCCAGCAACGCCGCGUGAAGGAUGAAGUAUUUCGGUAUGUAAACUUCGAAAGAAUGGGAAGAAUAAAUGACGGUACCAUUUAUAAGGUCCGGCUAACUACGUGCCAGC
rnacentral:rRNA from 1 species